rnacentral:rRNA from 1 species
UCAGGAUGAACGCUAGCGACAGGCUUAACACAUGCAAGUCGAGGGGCAGCGGGGUAGGAAGCUUGCUUUCUGCCGCCGGCGACCGGCGCACGGGUGAGUAACACGUAUGCAACCUGGCCGUGACAGAUGGAUAACCGGGAGAAAUCCCGCCUAAUACAACAUAAUGCCGGGAGGGGACAUCCCCUGCCGGCCAAAGGGGGCGACCCCGGUCACGGAUGGGCAUGCGGCGCAUUAGGUAGUUGGUGGGGCAACGGCCCACCAAGCCGACGAUGCGUAGGGGUUCUGAGAGGAAGGUCCCCCACAUUGGAACUGAGACACGGUCCAAACUCCUACGGGAGGCAGCAGUGAGGAAUAUUGGUCAAUGGCCGGAAGGCUGAACCAGCCAAGUCGCGUGAGGGAAUAAGGCCCUACGGGUCGUAAACCUCUUUUGCCAGGGAGCAAUGCCGUCCACGUGUGGACGGAAGGAGAGUACCUGGAGAAAAAGCAUCGGCUAACUCCGUGCCAGCAGCCGCGGUAAUACGGAGGAUGCGAGCGUUAUCCGGAUUUAUUGGGUUUAAAGGGUGCGUAGGCGGCCUGCCAAGUCAGCGGUAAAAUUGCGGGGCUCAACCCCGUACAGCCGUUGAAACUGCCGGGCUCGAGUGGGCGAGAAGUAUGCGGAAUGCGUGGUGUAGCGGUGAAAUGCAUAGAUAUCACGCAGAACCCCGAUUGCGAAGGCAGCAUACCGGCGCCCGACUGACGCUGAGGCACGAAAGUGCGGGGAUCAAACAGGAUUAGAUACCCUGGUAGUCCGCACAGUAAACGAUGAAUGCU